GACGAACGCUGGCGGCGUGCUUAACACAUGCAAGUCGAGCGGUAAGGCCCUUUCGGGGUACGACGAGCGGCGAACGGGUGAGUAACACGUGGGUGACCUGCCCUCCAGCUCUGGGAGUAAGCCUGGGAAACCGGGUCUAAUACCGGAUAUGACUCCAUGACGCAUGUUGUGGGGUGGAAAGCCUUGUGCGGCUGAGGAUGGGCCCGCGGCCUAUCAGCUUGUUGGUGGGGUGAGGCCUACCAAGGCGACGACGGGUAGCCGGCCUGAGAGGGCGACCGGCCACACUGGGACUGAGACACGGCCCAGACUCCUACGGGAGGCAGC
rnacentral:rRNA from 1 species